GUGAGCAGUUUGGCCCUCAAAUAUUUACACUAAUCAUUGUAAAACAUAUUCCUCAAGUGCCCCGUAAACCGAAACGGAAGGAAGGAAGGCCAAAACAAUGGAAGAGGUCUCAGGAUCCCCGGGAUCCCAGGUCCAGUUUCGGAGUUUCGUUUUCAGGAGAACAAGGGAAACCUGGCACGGGCCACGUGCCUCACUGCACGUGUCCCUUUUAAUGACCAGCGAAUUGUGAAAGGAAAGUACAUACAUAUAGAGCCUCGUCGAUGUCUACGACGGGGAGCCUUGAAAAAAUCAAAAGGGUAUUGGUGCCCUUUAUUCAGACUCACAGACAUAUUUGUGCUAUAUUGAAAUCCAAUUCAAUGAAAUUGUUGCCACGCUCGAGUUCCAUUAGACAAAAACCAAUCACAACAGCGUGAAAAGGUGGGAAACCGUUGCCUCUGAACCACCCACUCAAUUGUUGGUCAGUUGAAAAUAUUUCGACAAUUUGCAUGACCCCACCUCCAUAUCCCCUCACCGCGUGCGGCGCACAAAGGAAUAUGUCAGGCAUCAAUUGAACUCUUUUCUCUGCCGUCAAUGGACGUAUUUGCCCGGACAUGGCCGAGUCCACCCGUCGAAGGACCCUUUUUAAUUGAGGAACUUGGCUGCGGCGUGUGGCCAGCAACCAGAAACAAACAACAACAAACGGAUGACAGGCAACGCCUGACAAUUGUCCUUUGGGCAGCGAUGCCAGGACAUGAGGACAUGAGGAUCCGAGGCUGCUGAUCUGAUCUAAUGCUGCAGGCUUGAUUUACUGGCAGCGGCUGCAAAUCAUCGCCCAAGUCUGAGCCCGAAAAGGGAUAAAGACAAUGGUCAUAUGGGGAAAAUAUGAAUAUACUCACUGGAACCCACACCCACAGAACAUAUAACUCCGAGGGGGUGACAUGUUCAUGUAGGCAUGUGCGAUAAAUUAUCAUGUGCGUUGAGUCAGAAUUUUUCCCACCUCCAAACGACGACGAGAAGGUGUCUGUAAUUGGUAGUCAAAUAUGUUGAUAUAUUGGAUGGAUUUGCUGGCAGACAAUUUUAUGAUCGCUGAAUUUAUUUGAUUCGUGAACUGCACGCCCCCAAAUUGAAGCCUUCAUAAAUUCCAAUUGCUCUGCAUCAAGCAAAUCCUUCAAAGAAAAUUUAUAUGUGCUGUUAAAAAACGUUUUGUGCGAAAACUCUCCGGUUUACAAAAUUAAACGAGUCGAGCCACAUUUUUCAGAACUAAUAAAUACGAGUAUAAGCCAGUAAAAAGAAGGGAGGGCAGGAAAACCGGCAACAUUUUUAAACAACCCCAUAGACGUAAAUAAAUAAAAAUACAAUUUAAAGAAUAUUGCAAAUAAAGUUGCACAUA